UUGGUCUUAACCCCUUAUUACUUUUACCCCUAAUUAUACAUGCAAGACUCACCAUUACAGUGAAAUAGCCCACCAACACACUAACCGGAGCAGGCAUCAGGAAACAACCCAAGACGCCAAGCACAAAUCAUAAGCCACACCCCCACGGGCCAGCAGCAGUAGAUAAUAUUAGGCCAUAAGCGCAAGCUUGACCUAGCAAGGGAACGCAUAGGGCCGGUUAAUAUCCGUGCCAGCGACCGCGGUUACACGACAGACCCAAAAUAAUACUAACGGCGUAAAGCACGACUAAAAAUUAAGUCAAAACAUUAAGGAACGAAGCCAAACUGGGCUGUAAAAAGCCAUAAGCCACACUAACCACACCCUAAUAACAAACACCUUCAACUCGUGAAAGUUUAGGAUACACACUAAGAUUAUGAUACCCUACUAUGCCUAACCUUAACAUAACAAUUAAAUUACCAAUUGUUCGCCAAAUAACUACGAGUAAAAACUUAAAAUUUAAAAGACUUGACGGUGCCUCAAAACAACCUAGAGGAGCCUGUCUAAUAACCGAUACCCCACGAUUAACCCAACCCACCCUAGCCUGACAGUCUAUAUACCGCCGUCGCCAGCCUACCUUGUGAAAGAAACAAAGUGAGCUUAAUAGUUAUACACUAACACGACAGGUCGAGGUGUAACUAAUGGGUGGGCCCAAGAUGGGCUACAUUUUCUAAAUCAGAAAAUACGAAUUAACCUAUGAAAAAGAAACUGAAGGCGGAUUUAGCAGUAUGUUAGGAACAACAAACCUAACAGAAAUCAGCGCAAUGAGGUGCGU
rnacentral:ncRNA from 1 species